rnacentral:rRNA from 1 species
UACGUAGGGUGCGAGCGUUGUCCGGAAUUAUUGGGCGUAAAGAGCUCGUAGGCGGUCUGUCGCGUCUGCUGUGAAAACCCGAGGCUCAACCUCGGGCCUGCAGUGGGUACGGGCAGACUAGAGUGCGGUAGGGGAGAAUGGAAUUCCUGGUGUAGCGGUGGAAUGCGCAGAUAUCAGGAGGAACACCGAUGGCGAAGGCAGUUCUCUGGGCCGUAACUGACGCUGAGGAGCGAAAGCGUGGGGAGCGAACGGG